rnacentral:rRNA from 1 species
AGCAAAUAGAUACCCGGGUAGUCCUGGCCCUAAACGAUGUCCACUAGAUCGUAGCUGCUCUGACGUAGUUAUGGUCGAAAGCAAAAGUGCUAAGUGGACCGCCUGGGAAGUACGGUCGCAAGGCUAAAACUCAAAGGAAUUGACGGGGGCUCACACAAGCGGUGGAGCAUGUGGUUCAAUUCGAAGCAACGCGCAGAACCUUACCUGGGCUUGACAUGCUAGGAUUAUCCCUAUGAAAGUAGGGUAGGCCCUGGGUACGAACUAGUACAGGUGCUGCAUGGCUGUCGUCAGCUCGUGUCGUGAGAUGUCGGGUUUAAGUCCCUUAACGAGCGAACCUUGCCCUUAGUUACUAACGGGUUAUGCCGAGGACUCUAAGGGGACUGCCGGUGUCAACCGGAGGAAGGUGGAGAUGACGUCAAGUCCUCAUGGCCUUUAUG